rnacentral:rRNA from 1 species
AGAGUUUGAUCGUGGCUCAGAACGAACGCUGGCGGCGUGCCUAACACAUGCAAGUCGAGCGAGAAAAUCUCCGCAAGGGGAUGAGUACAGCGGCGAACGGGUGAGUAACACGUGGGCAACCUGCCCCUCAGUUAGGAAUAACCCCGCGAAAGCGGGGCUAAUACCAGGUGACGUCCCCUGGGGGCAUCCUCGGGAGACCAAAGGGGGCGAGCGAAAGCGGCUCUCGCUGAGGGAUGGGCCUGCGGCUGAUUAGCUAGUUGGUAGGGUAACGGCCUACCAAGGCGACGAUCAGUAGCCGACCUGAGAGGGUGACCGGCCACACUGGGACUGAGACACGGCCCAGACUCCUACGGGAGGCAGCAGUGGGGAAUAUUGCGCAAUGGGCGAAAGCCUGACGCAGCGACGCCGCGUGGGUGAUGAAGGCCUUCGGGUCGUAAAACCCUGUCGGGUGGAACGAAUCCCCCGCGGAAUAAUACUUCGCGGGGUUGACGGUACCACCGAAGGAAGCCCCGGCUAACUACGUGCCAGCAGCCGCGGUAAUACGUAGGGGGCGAGCGUUGUUCGGAUUUACUGGGCGUAAAGAGCGCGUGGGCGGUUCGAUCAGUCGGAGGUGAAAUCCCUCGGCUCAACCGAGGACCCGCGUCCGAUACUGUCGAACUUGAGUGCAGGAGAGGAGAGCGGAAUUCCCAGUGUAGCGGUGAAAUGCGUAGAUAUUGGGAGGAACACCGGUGGCGAAGGCGGCUCUCUGGACUGCCACUGACGCUGAGGCGCGAAAGCUAGGGGAGCAAACGGGAUUAGAUACCCCGGUAGUCCUAGCCGUAAACGAUGGGCACUAGGUGUGGGAGGUAUCGACCCCUUCCGUGCCGCAGCUAACGCAUUAAGUGCCCCGCCUGGGGAGUACGGCCGCAAGGUUGAAACUCAAAGGAAUUGACGG